rnacentral:rRNA from 1 species
GGUUGAUCCUGCCAGUAGCAUAUGCUUGUCUCAAAGAUUAAGCCAUGCAUGUCUAAGUAUAAAUAGUAUACAGUGAAACUGCGAAUGGCUCAUUAAAACAGUUAUAGUUUAUUUGAUAAUGGAAGCCUACAUGGAUAACCGUAGUAAUUCUAGAGCUAAUACAUGCUGUUAAACCUGACUUUUUGAAAGGUUGUAUUUAUUAGAUAUGAAGCCAAUAUUCCGCAAGGUCUAUUGUGGUGAAUCAUAGUAACUGAUCGAAUCUCCUAUUUGGAGAUAAAUCAUUCAAGUUUCUGCUCUAUCAGCUUUCGAUGGUAGUGUAUUGGACUACCAUGGCAAUCACGGGUAACGGAGAAUUAGGGUUCGAUUCCGGAGAGGGAGCCUGAGAAACGGCUACCACAUCUAAGGAAGGCAGCAGGCGCGUAAAUUACCCAAUCCUGAAUCAGGGAGGUAGUGACAAGAAAUAACAACCCGGGUGAUUCACAUCAUUACGGGAUUGCAAUGAGAACAAUUUAAAUCACUUAGCGAGGAUCAAUUGGAGGGCAAGUCUGGUGCCAGCAGCCGCGGUAAUUCCAGCUCCAAUAGUGUAUAUUAAAGUUGUUGCAGUUAAAAAGCUCGUAGUUGAACUUCUGGCAGCGUGCAGAUAUGGCUCCGGUCAGUCUGUUCGUUGUCAUCCGUCUGCAAACUUUGUUCGUCCUUUAGUGGUUCGGCAAGGGGAGUAGACAUUUUACUUUGGAAAAAUUAGAGUGUUUCAAGCAGGCUAUUGCCAGAAUACUUUAGCAUGGAAUAAUGGAAUAGGACUCUUGUCCAUUUGGUUGGUUAUUGGACCGGAGUAAUGAUUAAUAGGGACAGUUGGGGGCAUUAGUAUUUAAUUGUCAGAGGUGAAAUUCAUGGAUUUAUUAAAGACUAACUUAUGCGAAAGCAUUUGCCAAGGAUGUUUUCAUUAAUCAAGAACGAAAGUUAGGGGAUCAAAGACGAUCAGAUACCGUCCUAGUCUUAACUAUAAACGAUGUCGACUCGGGAUUGGAAAGGUAACAUUUAUCCUUUCCAGCACCGUAUGAGAAAUCAUUAAGUCUUUGGAUUCUGGGGGGAGUAUGGUCGCAAGGCUGAAACUUAAAGGAAUUGACGGAAGAGCACCACCAGGCGUGGGACCUGCGGCUUAAUAUGACUCAACACGGGAAAACUUAUUUCAGCAAAACAUGAGUGGGAUUGACAGAUUGAGAGCUCUUUCUUAUUUUAUGGGGUGUGGUGCAUGGCCGUUCUUAGCUU